UGCUGUUUUGAUGUUGCUGCAUGUGCCGUUGCUGCCUAGUGUUUGCUGAUGCUUGUGGCGCCGGUGCCUCUUGUGCCCGAGCGUAUGUGCACAGCCGGUUGUGCUUCUGGCCGGUGUAUUUGGCUAGAGUUUGAUUAGUCUAGAAAUAGAUUAGGUUAGUUUAUUUGUUUAAUUAGUCAAAUGUGUAGAUGACAAGUGGGCCACCCCUGUUGAUUAUCUUUUAUUUAUUGGGUUAACAAAAAUAGUGUAUAUGACAAGUGGCCCCAUCACUUAAACAGUCUAUUAAAACUUCUCUAUCUGAACAUGGGCCUAUGACAUGCGGGCCCCUUGUUAAUUUGACUCAGUCAACAGUCAAACUAGUUGACUGCUGACUGGACAUUGACUUGGUCAACUGAACUCCUUGCCCCGCUGUCAUAAACAUGGCUAGCCCCCUAGUUGGUGUGAAAAGUAUUCUGUUAUCUAGUAUUAUUAGAGUAAAUAGAUAAUAGGAAUUUUAGAAAAUGUUUAAAUCUUUAAAAAUUCAUCGUAAUUAAACCGUAACUCGGAUGAAAAUGUUUUCUAUUUGAAAGUUGUUCAAAAAAAUCCAACGAAUUCGAUUACGCGGUCCGUUCAUCUGUCACAUGCCCCUAGCAUGCUGAACAUGGAACUUUCCCCCUCCGGUCAUCUGUUUGACACAGGUCCGGAACCGGGAAAACAUUCCCGGUUGACUCCCCCCCCCUCGCCGGUAUCGUGUAGCACCACGUUAGAACACGUCUAGCUCUGCUUGUUGUCCUGUUAUGCUAUGUUUGCUUUAUAUUUAUUGUGUUCCCCCUCCAUUACUUCUUUCCGCUAGACAUCGAGACCGACGCCGCUGCAACCCAGNNNNNNNNNNNNNNNNNNNNNNNNNNNNNNNNNNNNNNNNNNNNNNNNNNNNNNNNNNNNNNNNNNNNNNNNNNNNNNNNNNNNNNNNNNNNNNNNNNNNNNNNNNNNNNNNNNNNNNNNNNNNNNNNNNNNNNNNNNNNNNCCAGAUAUCGCCUAUUCUCCUCUAUACUGCUUGCAUUAGAGUAGUGUAGCAUGUUACUGCUUUUCGUUAAUCCUAUUCUGAUGCAUAGCAUGACAUUGUUGCUACAUCUGUUGAUACCUUACCUGCAAUUCUAAAUACUUAGUAUAGGAUGCUAGUUUAUCAUCAUUGGCCCUACAUUCUUGUCAGUCUGUCUUGCUAUACUAUUGGGCCGUGAUCACUCGGGAGGUGAUUAUGGGUAUAUACUAUACAUACUUACAUACUAUACAGAUGGUGACUAAAGUCGGGUCAGCUCGUUGAGUACCCGCAAGUGAUUCUGAUGAGGGGGCUGAAAGGACAGGUGGCUCCAUCCCGGUAGAGGUGGGCCUGGGUUCCCGACGGCCCCCGACUGUUACUUUGUGGCGGAGCGACAGGGCAGGUUGAGACUACCUAGGAGACAGGUGGGCCUGGCCCUGGUCGGCGUUCGUGGAUACUUAACACGCUUAACGAGAUCUUGAUAUUUGAUUUGAGUCUGGCUACUGGCCUAUACGCACUAACCAACUACGCGGGAACAGUUAUGGGCACUCGACGUCGUGGUAUGAGCCGAAGCCUUCUAGACGUCAGCGACUGAGCGGCGCGUGCCUGAUUGGACCGCGUAACGUGACUUCCUUUGUAAUGGAGGUUGCUAGGUCUGCUUCCGGCCGCCCUCGCAACGGGCAUGUGUGCAAUGGGCGAUGGGCCCAGACCCCUGCGCCAUAGGAGUUAGACCGGCGUGCUGACCUCUCUGUUAGGCCUAGGUGGGGCUGCGACGUGUUGAUCUUCCGAGGCCGGGCAUGACCCAGGAAAGUGUGUCCGGCCAAAUGGGAUCGAGCGUGUUGGGUUAUGUGGUGCACCCCUGCAGGGAAGUUAAUCUAUUCGAAUAGCCGUGAUCUUCGGUAACAGGACGACUUGGAGUUGUACCUUGACCUUAUGACAACUAGAACCGGAUACUUAAUAAAACACACCCUUCCAAGUGCCAGAUACAACCCGGUGAUCGCUCUCUAACAGGGCGACGAGGAGAGGAUCGCCGGGUAGGAUUAUGCUAUGCGAUGAUACUUGGAGGACUUCAGUCUACUCUCUUCUACAUGCUGCAAGACGGAGGCUGCCAGAAGCGUAGUCUUCGACAGGAUUAGUUAUCCCACACAUAUUCUGGCAUUCUGCAGUUCAGUCCACUGAUAUGGCCCUUUACACAUAUACCCAUGCAUAUGUAGUGUAGCUCCUUGCUUGCAGUACUUUGGAUGAGUACUCACGGUUGCUUUCUUCCCUUUUUUCCCCUUUCCUUUCUACCUGGUUGUCGCAACCAGAUGUCAGAGCCCAGGAGCCAGACGCCACCGUCGACGAUGACUCCUACUACGCUGGAGGUGCCUACUACUACGUGCAGCCCGCUGACGACGACCAGGAGUAGUUUAGGAGGAUCCCAGGCAGGAGGCCUGCGCCUCUUUCGAUCUGUAUCCCAGUUUGUGCUAGCCUUCUUAAGGCAAACUUGUUUAACUUAUGUCUGUACUCAGAUAUUGUUGCUUCCGCUGACUCGUCUAUGAUCGAGCACUUGUAUUCGAGCCCUCGAGGCCCCUGGCUUGUAUUAUGAUGCUUGUAUGACUUAUUUUUGCAUUAGAGUUGUGUUGUGAUAUCUUCCCGUGAGUUCCUGAUCUUGAUCAUACACGUUUGCGUGUAUGAUUAGUGUACGAUUGAAUCGGCGACGUCACAAGUUGGUAUCAGAGCCGACUGCCUGUAGGAAUCCCCCUUUCCAACUUCUUGGCCGAAGUCGAGUCUAGUUAUUGAAAAACUUUUACUAACAUGGCUGUGUGCCUUAUGGGCCCACGUCGCCAUUGGGUGGAAUUAUGAUCUUUUAUUCCUCGACCUAUACUCUGGGACUCUGACAUCUCUUCUAUUUGGGUUAAACGAUUUUACAAACUCUGACUCUAGGUUCUUGAUAAUACUUUCUCCCGGUGAGCCCCUUUAGUCCAGAUGAUCGCCUGCUGCACCAGAAAAUUUUGAAGAUACUCUCCGAUGUUUCCUUGAGACCCUUGUGCCCUUCGUCGUUGCAAUUUCAUACCACCGAUAAAUCCCUAUGGAAAGCUACAUACACUUGUCGUCCAUAACUUCAUUUCCAAUUUUAUCUUGAUAUUACAAGAUACCCUGAAAUACCUCGGAUAUUCCGAGAAUCCUUUGUGUCUGCUGCCUUGCAGCUCCUUUUCCUCAUAAAUACCCCUACGGAUAAUUCCUCGCACUUAUCGAUUAUCCGCUCAUCCCCAGUUGUUUAGGUGUUUCGCAAAAUGCUUCUAAAUGCCAUUGGCUCUUCCAAAAUCCUUAGUAGCCUAUUGCUCUUGAUCUUCUUUACCUGCUUGCAUAAUGGUUACUUCCAUAUGUCUAGCAAUAUUCAUUAAAAUACUUUGUGAUCGACAUUCUGAUCUUGUUAAUUCAACAUGUGUGUGAAUGCACACAAUCAUCAUUUAUUCCCUGAAAAUUAUCCUUUCGGCUUAGACGUCAUUUUGAACAUGAGCUGGUUCUCAGCCAAUUAAAUUGCCGUCGAUUGUACCCCUAAGUGUAUUCAAAUUAUCCAUCCUUUAUCAGAGUGUUUGCUUCUGAUCCCUUCGUUUGGAAAUCUUAAUUCCUUUUGCAUUUGAGCUUGACUUAGUCGGUUGUUUCUAUAAUCAGAUCUCCUUGCAUUCUUUCUUCUUCCGGUUGAGUACCGAUGCUCACAUCAAAUCCCUUAGGGACCGCCAGGUCCUUUGUUGGAUUUUGUCCGACACCGUCCUUCGUAUUCAUUAACCUUGUGAGCUUUUCCUCAGAUACAUAAGGCCUUUGAUAAAUUGUAUCCCCUGCUUUUGUCAACCAUGCUCAGCUCCCGAGCUUGAGUUCUUUACUCUGAAGUUUGUGGUAUAUAUUCCUAGAUGCCCCGAUGGGUUGAACCAUUACCUUCCCUAAUCGGUGCGAACCCGAAAGAUUUCACGGGUCAUACUUAUCUGGUAUUGUACCAGGUAAAAUGUUCAACAACUAAUGUCAUUUUUGAAAUACGAGAGGUGAAUGGAAGGUUAUGCAUUGAGGAAGUGGGGGUCGACCUUGAACCUUUGUGUUCAUGCCCAUGGACACGAUGUAGAUCCUACCAUGGAAGCUUCUUGCGAUAAUAGUUGUUUCCUUGACAUAAUAUCCUUUGGUAUCGGAGAAUUGAUCUUUUGCAAUUGUGGUUCCGACCAUAUGUUCUUCUUUGAUCCCAUUUCUCGGGCAAGUUUAAGCACUUGUCUUCUGUGGAUCAAUACACCAGUCUAACCUUUACUUUGAUCUUUCGUCGAGUAUUACACCCCGGUAUCUCGAGAUUAUCACAGAACUGCAUAACUUCUUAUGAGUUCUCCAUCAAGUACUACAUUCUCAUUGAUUCCAAUAUUUUUCACGGGCUCUGAGUCAUUAAACACUCAAGGACACCGAUAACUGAGUCGAGUCCACAUCGCGAUUAAACAACUAUUAGUAAUCUUCUUUACUUACGAGUUUGUACUCGAUCACGUCAUUUUGUAUCUGUAUCGUGCCGAUUUUGACUGUACUACCUGGUCCUUAUUUCCGGAGCACCACUUUCGCGAUGAGCUAAGCUUACAUCGAUCUUCCUUGUCUUAUCAUUUUUCGCCUUGAACAGAAAGCUUGAUUUUGAGUUUGUAUUGUACCCAGGGUUCCAAUAACCUUUCGUUUCAUCAUUCCUUUGACUUGAUGUCAUCGCCGAUCAAUUACAUCUUCAUGAAAUCUCUCGACAAAUGUGUCGUGAUCAUCACCAACAUUCUGCGCUGUUCCAGGAUAUCAGUCGAAUUCAUGAUGAGAAAUACCAUCCUUGCCCCCUCGAUGAAUUGUUUCUGAGCCCGCCGGCCACAAAAUCAUCUUUUUCUUGCUGAAAUUGUAUGACUUAUUUUAUAAGUUGUUCCGAUGGAUCCUUUGUGUAUCCGAAGUCUGGCCUUUCCCUGAUGACCAUGUCAACACUAUUCCGAAGCAUGUGUGUGGUACUCCGAUCAUCAACAAGAACAUUGGGAGCGCAAUGCUAACUGUUCUUGAUCAAUAUCCAAACACCGUUGUAUGGGUAAACCUCAUAAAUUCCUUGCCCCUUUGUCUAAAGGUUUAAUACCUGGAGCCCUAUCAUGCACUGCCUUUCCUUGGGAAAGUUAUACUCUAAUACUUGGGUAUAAACACAUUUCCUUUCCAUUGGUCUGAUUAUCAUAAUAAUCACAUUUUCCUUUCCAUUGUUUCGUUUCACCUUUCUUGUAAUCUAACUUGUCUGAGCAAAGAUAAAUCCCUGCUUAAGUAAGCACCUCGGUGUACAAUUCUGUCAGUAAGACCCUGUUACUAUUGUUGAUGACAUUUCGGUAACCACCGAUGGACAAGAACUUUGCCUAUUGGUCUGCCUCAUCUUACGAGCAGAAAAAUGGUUAUCUUUGUCCCACGCCCUUGGUACCAAACUUUGUUGCCAACAUAACUGACAGGCUAUCCGCUAACCUGCCUCGCUAUCAUAACCAUUCAAGAUGUUAGCGCCUUCCUGCUUUUAACCCACAUGGUGGGCCCAUAACCCAUAGUUCCACAAGAUCGAAACCCGACUCUCCUGUACACCCUUGUUUUUAAGGUUAUUUCUCACGCUUGGCUUCAUAUGAAAAUCCUGAGCCGCCUUCCGAGAGGCGAUCUAUCCUGCUAUCACACGCAAUACUUAUUACCAUUGCUCUGAACCUCUUUCACCCCUUGUUUCAGGCAACAAGCGGUUGUCUACCAGGUUGAAACUCCUUAUUGCACCUCACCUUACUCUCGAUGACUUUUUUGAAUUUCAACUCGUAAGGUGACUUUGUUCAUAGUCCCCGCGUACCUAUCUUGUUUUGAGCUUCGUCCUUCCCGAGUCUUUUCCCUUACUCCACCUCUUAAAUCUCGGGACGAGAUUUCUUGUAGUGGAGGAGAUUUGUAACACCCCGGUAGUUGAACUACAGUAACCUCACACUAAUGAUGCCAUGUCAUCAAGUUUGACUAAGCCACAUUGCCACUUGAGAAAAAUCAAAUCCAAAUUCCUUUUGAAAUACAAGUCAAAUUCUUAUUUCUUUAUUCUGUCAAAUAAAAAUGUUUGAUGGGUUGCAAGUAUUCGUGAAUUAAUUGUCAUGAAGAAAUCAACUCAAAUUGGAUUUUUAUUUUUCCCAUGGAAAUAUUUUGGUGGACCAACAACGUUUAAUUUGGUCGUUCAAAUUCCAACAUAUAUUCCUACCUUUUCCAAACCACAAGAAACUUUGUGUGUGGCCCUAUGCUAACGUACUGUAUUAUGUGCCAAGUUUUGUUUAUAACAAAAAUUGUUUGCUCACUCAAAUAAAUAUCAAGUUGUAGCUAAAAAUAGAAAACAACGGUGUAAGUAUGAAACAGUAAAGAUAAUAGGAAAGUAAAAGGCCCCUACUAUGGACUGGGCCGUAAGACCACAGUGCAAGGCCCAACCCAGUACCCCUCAUCCUUUUCCUCUGUACACUAGGGGAUGGCGUGGCGGGCAUCCACCCCGCCAUGGCCGCCGAUGCCGCCGCUAUCGUUCAUCCCGCGGUCGAGGGGAUGGAUAAGAGCAUCCCCAGAGCCCCCUCGACCAAACCCUAGGUCACCCAUUCCCCUCCCUCGCUUGCCCCCUUCGUUUUCUUCUUGCCCGAGGCGCUCAUGGCCGCGCCGCCGUCGUACGCGCAGCCACCGCACGCCCCUCGCCGCCUCUCCAUGUCCAGAAGCUCUGCGGGGGUCGACUUCAUCGGCUACAACUCCGAAUCGGAGCUGGGAGGCCGCCACCCCGUCGUCGACUGCAUCUUCUUCCCCAACUACGACCGCCACUGAACUCCGUCGAUUUGCACUGCUCCGCCCCGUCCAAGGCCUCCCAGACCACACCUCCGAGUUCGCGGUGAGCUCAUCCCUCGAAUCCUCCUUUUUCCCCUUCGAUUUGAACAACGUAGGGCGCCGUCACCGUCGUGUCCGAACUCGCGCGUACGCGUACAUGCGUGCAGUUGCUGCUCUGCUUCGUUGCGCUGUUGCUGUUGCCAUCUGAUGCUGCUCUACUACUGUUGCUUGCCGUCACUGGCCACCGCCGCUGCUGCCUCACCCCGCCCCCGCCUCAGGCCCGCGCGCCCCCACUCGCUGCUCCCUUCUGCUGUUGCCGCGGUUGCCGUCGUCGCGCGCCGUGUUGGCCCCCCUGCUCGCCGUCCGUGCCCGCGCCGCCCGCUCGCCGGUCAUCGCCCGCCCUGGCCGGAGCCGUCCCCAUCCGCGUGCGCCCUGCUGCGCUUGACGCUGUCCCGCGACCGUGGCCGGAGCUCCAUGUACGCGCAGAAACUGCUGCUGAUGCGUUACUGCGGCGCUGCUCCUACUGCCGCUCGUGGCUGCCCCGGGAGCCGCCUUCGCCAGCCGCGUGUUGCUCCGUCGACAGCCCCGCUGCUGCACUCAGCCGCUGCCUUCGGCUGCUGCUGCCGCUGCUCGUUGUUCCCUGCGACCGCCACUGCUGUUUUGAUGUUGCUGCAUGUGCCGUUGCUGCCUAGUGUUUGCUGAUGCUUGUGGCGCCGGUGCCUCUUGUGCCCGAGCGUAUGUGCACAGCCGGUUGUGCUUCUGGCCGGUGUAUUUGGCUAGAGUUUGAUUAGUCUAGAAAUAGAUUAGGUUAGUUUAUUUGUUUAAUUAGUCAAAUGUGUAGAUGACAAGUGGGCCACCCCUGUUGAUUAUCUUUUAUUUAUUGGGUUAACAAAAAUAGUGUAUAUGACAAGUGGCCC
rnacentral:lncRNA from 1 species